UACGAAAGGGGCUAGCGUUGUUCGGAAUUACUGGGCGUACAGCGCACGUAGGCGGCCUUGUAAGAUGGGGGUGAAAUCCCCGGGCUCAACCCGGGAACUGCCUUCAUGACUGCAAAGCUAGAGGAUGCGAGAGGGUAGCGGAAUUCCGAGUGUAGAGGUGAAAUUCGUAGAUAUUCGGAAGAACACCAGUGGCGAAGGCGGCUAACUGGCGCAUUUCUGACGAUGAGGUGCGAAAGCGUGGGGAGCAAACAGG
rnacentral:rRNA from 1 species